rnacentral:rRNA from 1 species
GAUGAACGCUAGCUACAGGCUUAACACAUGCAAGUCGAGGGGCAUCAUGCGGAUUGCUUGCGAUCCGUGAUGGCGACCGGCGCACGGGUGAGUAACGCGUAUCCAACCUUCCCGCUGCAGGGGGAUAACCCGGUGAAAGCCGGACUAAUACCCCAUAAUCCCCGUUGACGGCAUCCGAUUCGGGGCAAAGUUAUAUUUCGGCAGCGGAUGGGGAUGCGUCCGAUUAGUUUGUUGGUGAGGUAACGGCUCACCAAGGCUUUGAUCGGUAGGGGUUCUGAGAGGAAGGUCCCCCACAUUGGGACUGAGACACGGCCCAAACUCCUACGGGAGGCAGCAGUGAGGAAUAUUGGUCAAUGGGCGUAAGCCUGAACCAGCCAAGUAGCGUGGAGGAUGACUGCCCUAUGGGUUGUAAACUCCUUUUAUGCGGGGAUAAAAUGUUUCACGUGUGAGAUAUUGCAGGUACCGCAUGAAUAAGGACCGGCUAAUUCCGUGCCAGCAGCCGCGGUAAUACGGAAGGUCCGGGCGUUAUCCGGAUUUAUUGGGUUUAAAGGGAGCGCAGACUGCUUGUCAAGCGUGCAGUGAAACGCCGUGGCCCAACCACGGUCCUGCUGCGCGAACUGGCUUGCUUGAGUGGGCCGUAGGUACGCGGAAUUCGUGGUGUAGCGGUGAAAUGCUUAGAUAUCACGAGGAACUCCGAUUGCGAAGGCAGCGUACCAUAUCCCAACUGACGUUUAGGCUCGAAGGUGCGGGUAUCGAACAGG